rnacentral:lncRNA from 1 species
UGGCUUAAUGAUUUUUCAGAUUCUUCAAUAUAUGUUUAUGAUUUUAUUUUAUUUUACUCUUAUUAUUUACUUUUGUAAGCAAUAAAGUGGUAGAAUAUCAGUCUGGUGAGUCUGCAAAUACAAGUUAACAUAAUUCUUGAAGAGCUUGUGUUGUUCAUCUAACUUCUGUAUUAUGACUAAUGUACAAUACUGACAUCUUGUCGAGAGCAAAAUUACUAUGGUAUUAAGGUAAACAAACCAAUUAUACAUGCAUAUAUAAUGCUUCCUCUAUUUUUGGAACUAUAAAAAUGUUUUCAUAUGGACUUAAAAAUUGCAUGACAUUGACUUGAUAUGAUCCAAAGAAUGAUCAUCUCAUUGCAUUAUGUUAUUUGAACUCAGGCAUUACAUAAGGGUUUUGAUUUCAUUUUAUGCAAUUUUUACCUCAAAAAAUGUGGAAAUUUAAUAGACAAUUGUAAACAUCAUGGAAUGAGAUGACAGUAGACCAAUCAGGUUCUUUGGAUGAUAUUGGUUUGGAGCCAGGUGUUGGUUUUACAAAUGAACUUA